GAGAUCAUGCCUCCCAGCCAGAACAAAUAUUCCUUCCUACCAAUCCCAGAUUUUCUGACAAACCUUCAUCUCCUGAACCAACUGCAAACCUGAAAACCUUUGAAUCCACGUUAUGACCUGUGUGCUGCCCCACUUCAAGAAUAUAUGUUACCAUCUCACAGAACACAGUUUGGAGAAUACUGGUAUAAAAUAUCAUUCCUCAUCAUGUGUUAUCAGAGCAUUGAAGAGUGCAAUGAUUUCAGGAUCAAUGAUUUCUGCAAAUGAACAUUUUUAAUAAAGCAGCUCUGGACUGUGAUUCCUAACUAUUGGGGCAUUGGCAUUAAAGAAAAGAGA